rnacentral:rRNA from 1 species
AGAGUUUGAUCCUGGCUCAGAUUGAACGCUGGCGGCAUGCCUUACACAUGCAAGUCGAACGGUAACAGGUCUUCGGAUGCUGACGAGUGGCGAACGGGUGAGUAAUACAUCGGAACGUGCCCGAGAGUGGGGGAUAACGAAGCGAAAGCUUUGCUAAUACCGCAUACGAUCUCAGGAUGAAAGCAGGGGACCGCAAGGCCUUGCGCUCACGGAGCGGCCGAUGGCAGAUUAGGUAGUUGGUGGGAUAAAAGCUUACCAAGCCGACGAUCUGUAGCUGGUCUGAGAGGACGACCAGCCACACUGGGACUGAGACACGGCCCAGACUCCUACGGGAGGCAGCAGUGGGGAAUUUUGGACAAUGGGCGCAAGCCUGAUCCAGCCAUGCCGCGUGCAGGAUGAAGGCCUUCGGGUUGUAAACUGCUUUUGUACGGAACGAAAAGACUCUGGUUAAUACCUGGGGUCCAUGACGGUACCGUAAGAAUAAGCACCGGCUAACUACGUGCCAGCAGCCGCGGUAAUACGUAGGGUGCGAGCGUUAAUCGGAAUUACUGGGCGUAAAGCGUGCGCAGGCGGUUAUAUAAGACAGAUGUGAAAUCCCCGGGCUCAACCUGGGAACUGCAUUUGUGACUGUAUAGCUAGAGUACGGCAGAGGGGGAUGGAAUUCCGCGUGUAGCAGUGAAAUGCGUAGAUAUGCGGAGGA